GCAGAGUAGAAAUCUGUGCGUUAAGUGCUGUGUGAACAGGGAGUUGUCAUGCGGACGAAAAGCAUUGCUUGCGGUACAGGCUUCGCAUCCCGCUGC
rnacentral:ncRNA from 1 species